rnacentral:rRNA from 1 species
AUACGGAGGGUGCAAGCGUUACUCGGAAUCACUGGGCGUAAAGCGCGCGCAGGCGGUCUUUUAAGUUGGAUGUGAAAGCCUACGGCUCAACCGUAGAACUGCAUCCAAAACUAUUAGACUAGAGUGUGGGAGAGGAAGAUGGAAUUAGUUGUGUAGGGGUAAAAUCCGUAGAGAUAACUAGGAAUACCAAAAGCGAAGGCAAUCUACUGGAACACUACUGACGCUGAGGCGCGAAAGCGUGGGGAGCAAACAGGAUUAGAAACCCUAGUAGUCC